rnacentral:ncRNA from 2 species
AUUAAUCUUCAGGGCAGGGUGUGAUUCCCGACCGGUGGUAUAGUCCACGAGCGUGAUAAGACGCAUGAACAGGUGUAACUCCUGUACCGAUAGUAUAGUCUAGAUGAAAGAAGAUAUUA